CCAAAAAAACGAACAAGUCUCAGUUCGGAGUUGAAGGCUGAAAUUCGCCUUCCAUGAAGCCGGGAAUUGCUAGUAAUGGCAGGUCAGCAUACUGCCGUGAAUACGUUCCCGGGCCUUGUACACACCGCCCGUCACACCAUGAGAGUUGGGAAUACCCGAAGCCUGUGAGCCAACUGUAAGGAGGCAGCAGUCGAAGGUAGAAUCAAUGAUUGGGGUGAAGUCGUAACAAGGUAGC
rnacentral:rRNA from 1 species